rnacentral:lncRNA from 1 species
UCUUUCUCCUAAAUUAAAUUAGUUGUAAAAAUUUUAAUAGGUGUAUUUUAUUUCCAAAGGUGCACUGAUCAUCUCCAAGACUUUCAUCCAUUAAGUGUUAAGGUUCA